rnacentral:rRNA from 1 species
GACGAACGCUGGCGGCGUGCCUAAUACAUGCAAGUAGAACGCUGAAGAGAGGAGCUUGCUCUUCUUGGAUGAGUUGCGAAACGGGUGAGUAACGCGUAGGUAACCUGCCUUGUAGCGGGGGAUAACUAUUGGAAACGAUAGCUAAUACCGCAUAACAAUGGAUGACACAUGUCAUUUAUUUGAAAGGGGCAAUUGUUCCACUACAAGAUGGACCUGCGUUGUAUUAGCUAGUAGGUGAGGUAAUGGCUCACCUAGGCGACGAUACAUAGCCGACCUGAGAGGGUGAUCGGCCACACUGGGACUGAGACACGGCCCAGACUCCUACGGAGGCAGCAGUAGGGAAUCUUCGGCAAAAUGGGGCAAACCCUGACCAAAGCAAACGCCGCGUGAGUGAAGAAAGGUUUUCGGAUCGUAAAAGCUCUGUUGUAAGUCAAGAACGGGUGUGAGAGUGGAAAGUUCACACUAUGAACGGUAGCUUACCAG